UACGGAGGGGGCGAGCGUUAUUCGGAAUUAUUGGGCGUAAAGGGCGCGUAGGCGGCUUCAUAAGUCAAAGGUGAAAUCCCUCGGCUCAACUGAGAAACUGCCUUUGAAACUGUGGAGCUUGAGGCCGGGAGGGGGUAGCGGAAUUCCCAGUGUAGCGGUGAAAUGCGUAGAUAUUGGGAGGAACACCAGUGGCGAAGGCGGCUACCUGGACCGGAACUGACGCUGAUGCGCGAAAGCGUGGGGAGCGAUCCGG
rnacentral:rRNA from 1 species